rnacentral:rRNA from 1 species
ACGGGUGAGUAACGCGUGGGAACGUACCCUUUUCUACGGAAUAACGCUUGGAAACGUGUGCUAAUGCCGUAUGAGCCCUUCGGGGGAAAGAUUUAUCGGGAAAGGAUCGGCCCGCGUUGGAUUAGCUAGUUGGUGGGGUAAAGGCCUACCAAGGCGACGAUCCAUAGCUGGUCUGAGAGGAUGAUCAGCCACAUUGGGACUGAGACACGGCCCAAACUCCUACGGGAGGCAGCAGUGGGGAAUAUUGGACAAUGGGCGCAAGCCUGAUCCAGCCAUGCCGCGUGAGUGAUGAAGGCCCUAGGGUUGUAAAGCUCUUUCACCGGAGAAGAUAAUGACGGUAUCCGGAGAAGAAGCCCCGGCUAACUUCGUGCCAGCAGCCGCGGUAAUACGAAGGGGGCUAGCGUUGUUCGGAAUUACUGGGCGUAAAGCGCACGUAGGCGGAUAUUUAAGUCAGGGGUGAAAUCCCAGAGCUCAACUCUGGAACUGCCUUUGAUACUGGGUAUCUGGAGUAUGGAAGAGGUGAGUGGAAUUCCGAGUGUAGAGGUGAAAUUCGUAGA